CUUGUUUCUGAAAAGGCCUCGCAAGACAACAUAUUGGCUGAAAGGAAUGGAAGUGAAACCAGUAGCAGGACUGUGAUGGACGCCAUUUUGAGCAGCCAAUGGGCCGAUCAAGAUGAGGUCAAGCAGACUCCAUCCGAAGACACAACCGACGAGCUCGAGCGGAGAUGUCAUCCUAAAUCCUGCCUCUACUAUCCCCACUACGCAUUCAUUGUCACACUGCGGUGGAUGAGGAAGCACAAAAGACAGCUUCGGUGGUUAGCUUUCCUUGCCUGGAUAACGUAUGUCAUUUACGUCCAGAUUUACAGCUUUUACAUCAUGGAACAGGACUAUGACGCGUGCAACGGAGGUGGUCUCGUAGCGUGGGUCAGCGCCGUCAUUCUGUUAUACAUCAUGCUGUUCAGACUGAUCCUUCCCCACAUACACCACGUCCGGCGGCUGAAGAGAUCAAUCUGCAUCCGGCCGUUCGAAUGCUGUCGAGUUACGUGCCAAUACACGUUGGUGCGUCUCGCCACCUGCGCCAUAGUGUUCGUUUUGAUUGUGAUGUUGACACACCAGGGACGCUUUGUGCCUUCCACUCACCAGUGCAUCGCCUUAUCCGGCUACUUUGCCAUCAUUUUGAUCGCCUACUUUCUCUCUGUGGAGCCAGAAAAGAUUGAUUGGCGUCUGGUCAUCAAGAAUUUGUUAAUACAGAUUAUCAUCGUGUACAGCAUGAUGAUCUGGACCUUUGGCCGCGUGUUGCUGCAAUGUACUGCCGAGAAG